AUUGAACGCUGGUGGCAGGCUUAACACAUGCAAGUCGAGCGAGCGGCGGACGGGUGAGUAAUGUCUGGGAAACUGCCUGAUGGCGGGGGAUAACUACUGGAAACGGUAGCUAAUACCGCAUACCAUCAGAUGUGCACAGAUGGGAUUGGCUAGUAGGUGGGGUAAUGGCUCACCUAGGCGACGAUCCCUAGCUGGUCUGAGAGGAUGACCAGCCACACUGGAACUUGUACCCGGUCCAUACUCCUACGGGAGGCAGCAGUGGGGAAUAUUGCACAAUGGGCGAAAGCCUGAUGCAGCCAUGCCGCGUGUGUGAAUAAGGCCUUCGGGUUGUAAAGCACUUUCGGCGAGGAUGCGUUACUCGCAGAAGAAGCACCGGCUAACUCCGUGCCAGCAGCCGCGGUAAUAC
rnacentral:rRNA from 1 species